rnacentral:sRNA from 1 species
AAAAAAAGAAAUUACCUAGGCAUGGUGGUGCCUCCCAGCUGCUUGGGAGGCUGAGGUGGGAGGAUUGCUUGAUCCAAGGAGGUUGAGGCUGCAGUGAGCCAUGAUCAUGCCACUGCUCUCCAGCCUGGGCAGCAGAGUGAUACCUGCCUUAAAGACACAAACACAACUCAAGUGAGACUUUGCUUCCCAGAGGCCUGAACUCUAUUUCAGAUGAAUAUUUUCUGUUACUUCCCCCCAGGAGCGAAUCCGUUUAGCUCGACAGAUUGAGAAAUCUGAGUAUCGGAACUUCCAGGCUUGCCUGCACAACUCUUGGAUUGAGCAGGCAGCGGCUGCCCUGGAGAUUGAGCUGGAAGAAGACAUGUAUAAGGGAGGAAAAGCUGACCAGCAAGAAGAGCGUCGGAGACAAAAGCAGAUGAAGGUUCUGAAGAAGGAGCUGCGCCACCUGCUCUCCCAGCCGCUGUUUACAGAGAGCCAGAAAACCAAGUAUCCCACUCAGUCUGGCAAGCCGCCCCUGCUUGUGUCUGCCCCAAGUAAGAGUGAGUCUGCUUUGAGCUGUCUCUCCAAGCAGAGGAAGAAGAAGACCAAGAAGCCGAAGGAGCCGCAGCCGGAACAGCCACAGCCAAGUACAAGUGCAAAUUAACUGCCCUG